GUUGGAAGCUCAAAAAGUGUUGGAGGAAGAGAAAAUGAAAAUAGAGGAAGCAAAGAAAGAAAUGGAAGAUACAAAGAGUCACACUGAAAACAUGAAGAAGGAACUGAUGAAAGUGCAAGAAGAACUUGCAGAAGAGAAAAUUGAGGUGAAGGAAGCAAAGAAAGAAAUGGAAGAUACAAAGAGUCACAAUGAAAACAUGAAGAAGGAACUGAUGAAAGUGCAAGAAGAACUUGCAGAAGAGAAAAUUGAGGUGAAGGUAUUGAAGAAAGAAAUGACGGUGACCAAGAAAGACUGCAAAGACGCACUGAAAGAAAUGCGAAAGCACAAAAAGGAAGC
ensembl:lncRNA